AAUAUGCUUUAUUUGCACGGUUUCCGUGAAAAUUGGGACUCGGCUAUUUCGACUCAGCACGGACUCGUAGCAGCUGGCUAAAGUUUCGCAAACCGGUCACCUAUUUGCCCUGGUUUUCGCAAUCUAAAACGAACUGUGGUUGUCGUGGGUUUUGAUCAGGGCGAUAUGUCUACUUUUCUUUCGAAGCUGCGCUGUCAGCCAAGCUUUGGGAGUGAAGAUUUCGCGUAAAGCGGCAUUCUUGUUCCAUUCCAUUCAUCCCGUUCAUUCAUUCGCAGAGUCAUUCAUUCGACGGCACGGUGAGUUGAGAGCCGCUAACAUGUCAAGGCUUGCGAAAGGACGGAUCUCGUGGAAGAAACUGCUCGUCAUAGCGGCCGUUCCCCACCUGAUCUACUUCCCGCUUCGCUUCUUCGCGACCAAGCGUCAAGAACCGCCGAAGGUAGAUGCCGCCGCCUUUGGAGACAUGGACGCUCAUUCUAUGGUGCAACGAUAAGCUUACUGUACGCGCUUCAAGGUCGUCAUGUGAAUGCAAGCUAGUUAUAUGCGGUCGUUCUCCGCUGCUGUCAUGCCACUUCGAUAGUGCGUUUUAUUUCUUGAAGAUAUUUGUGUUAUAAAAUAAACUCGUUGACCGUUA
rnacentral:lncRNA from 1 species